GUUCUUGUCACAGUUGUUGCACCUGACAGGACUGUGUUGGCUGUCAGUUUUGUUGUUUUGUGAAUUGCAUAGUGUUCGUGACAUUAAAAAUGACGAACCCUAACUCCGCCGCAUUUUGGUCCACUUCUUCCGUAGACAGCCGUUACAGUGUAAUGGACUUCAGAACGUUCUCUGAAUAAACUGUACAGACCUUUUGCAGAAAGGACAAUUAAACCGGUCACGGAAGUUUACUUCCGCCUUCAGGAAGCACUGAGACCUAAUGCCUGGAGAAUCUCAAUGCAUAGACACAAGAAUGGUGGAGAUGUUUCACAGCCAGACAGACCCGGAGACCUAGGAGCACAUUCAGUCAGACUUUACUUCAGGCAAUGGCCACAUCAGGUGUGUGGUGGCCAAAGUGGCGUUCGGCAUGGGCAUCCAGGUGGACGACAUCAGACGGGUGGUGCAUUUGGGGGCUUCCAGUGACUUCCUUUCCUACUGGCAGGAAGUUGGGAGGGACCACAAGGAAGGAUGUUUUCCCUAGGUGAGGAAGGUGAUCCUGUCCUUUGGUCUUAACAACAAGGACAAGGGCACGACUCAGUCCCACAACAAGAGUGUUCGCCUUCUGUUCAAUACAGCGCAUCAAUCUGGGUGCCGAAGGUGAACUAUCCAGUCACUUCCGCCCGACAUUGGCUCAGAGUACUUUACCACGACGAGGUCUGUCAUUUAUUCCAACGCUGGGCAUUACAUGGGCACAACUACGCAGAGAUACGUUCCUACCACAGACAAUUGAAACUGGCUGCAUUUUUUGAAGAUGACGAAACUGAUCUGUCUGACAGGCAUCGUUUCAUGCCAAAAUCCAUCUGGGAACCUCGGUUCAACCUCCUGUCAUCCUGUGCCUGAUUCAAAUCGGAUAAAGAUUCCAUAUCCAGACUGCCUGUCGUCGACAAAGAAACAACACACUCUGGUUAAAGGGUUAUACUUUGCACAAAGUGAAAGCAGUAUUUUAGAAACAAGUUUACCACCUGCAUGUCUGCUGUUAGAGGUGUUCAAUGGUUCCACCAUAAAGGAGAUAAACACUCCAAAUAGAAAUAAUGGGACAACACCUGGGCUAGUAAAGACAGACAAGAAGGAAUGUCAAGCAUCAUUUGUUUUCCUUUUUCAACAGUGUAACCCUUUCUUUCUGACAUAAGCAUCUGCUGAAGAAUGUGCUGCAUGGCAGCCACUGCCUCCAGCAUUGAGGUCUCGAACCACCUUCUCCUCUGAGUUCAAGUGUUAUUGUCACAUGCACAAGAACAGUGAAAUGCAUAAAAACAGAGUCAACCGUUUCAAUUUCAGUUUCAAUUAUUUUCUUGGUCCUGUGCAGACUUUGUAAAUCAAACAAAUACACGUGUGAACACCAAAAUAUGUUUUUUUUGUUUCAACUUAUGUUAGAAUAAAUAGUGAAUGAUUUAUAAACUGUAUGUCAUUCAUUACCUGCAGGGAAUAAGAAAUACAGAAGGUCAUAUUGUGUUAAUCAUAACCCUAUGCACCAGAGAGACAUUAACCUCAAAGCACAGCCAAGUGGUUCUCCCUUUGGCCUGUCUCCCGGCAACGUUCUUUGGCCUGUUUGUAGGUUCUUAGCAUGUUCCCCAAUUUACGUCUGAACUCAGUUCUUCUCAGGGUAACCGUGAUCCGCAAAGAGCCCCUCCAUCUUCUUGUAGAAGGCAUUUGGAGGGACCCUGAGAGCCAGCAUGUUGAGUCAAGUGAGUUUGAGAGCUGGAGGGACCCAUGAGAGCCAGCAGGUUUAGUCAGGAGAGUUUGAGAGCUGGAGGGACGCAUGAAAGCCAGGAGUCAGGAGAGUUUGAGAGCUAGAGGGACCCAUGAAAGCCAGGAGUCAGGAGUUUGAGAGCUAGAGGGACCCAUGAGAGCCAGGAGUCAGCAGAGUUUGGGACACAGAGGCAGCUUGUCCAGCAUUCUUAUCUAACCAGUGACAAAUUACAGUAAUCAGAUGGGACAUAUUUCAUCUAUUUAUAUUGUACAAGUGCUUGAUUAUUUAUUGCAUGAAGCACUUUCAGUGUUUACAACAUUGAGACCCUUUUGGAAAUAGGCCCCUACCUUACAAGACGUGUUGUGUGAAGUUUGCGCUGCUGAACUUGACAUCUUGAAAUUUACUGUGCCUGAGCUAUAUUACUGAAGAACUGAAUAUUGCAUGUUACACUGAAAUGAUUAUAUCAGCCUUUUGUAUUGAAAACACUGAAACUGCCAUUCUAAGCCCGCCAGCCCGUACA
rnacentral:lncRNA from 1 species